UGAUGCCCUGGAAGCACCAGCAAAUGUAAUGAGGUAAGAGGCAAUGAGAAGACAAAGUGCAUUCAUUACAGAUAAAACGCGGGUAUACUUGGAAAAGCCAGAGGAUAAGCUGAGCAACCAUUAGGAGCAAUACAAAGUUAGCGUGUGGCCACUAACCAAACUGAUACACAGAAAUAAUAGCCUUCAUGCAGACCUGGGGCUCCUGGCCAGAACGUAUGAUGGAAAAAAAGAUCCUAUUUUCACAUGGCCACAAAAAGAUGAAAUGCCCAGGAAUAACCCCACAUGAAAGUAAAGGAAACAUGCAGAUGCUUCUGAGGAACAUGAAUAAAUGGAGAGACAUAUCUGCUGGGGAACGUCAUUGAACGUCUGCCUGUUGACUCAAGAGCUGGACCUGGGCAUGCACAGGCUCCUCGUCCCCUCCCCUGCCUUUGGAAUGUGGGUUCCACUUGCCUCUCUUGCUCCCAGAGGCUGCUCCAGGGACAUUGCCUUGAGAUGGUGACAUGGUGAUGAGAACACCUGCACAGUAUACAUGAUGGAACCCAGAUGGAUCAAAGAGAGAUGAAAACACAUGGAAGACUGAAGUUAAAAAUAACCCUGAAGUGAGGAUGGCCUUUUAAAGCAUAUACUGACCUAGAAAUCACAAAAGAAAAGCUUGAUAAUUUUAACAACAUACAUUUUUUAAAUUUCUGCACAGCAGACUCUAAAUAAAGCUUAUGACAACUGAACCUGAGAGAAAUGUUACAAUAUAACAAAAACAAAAGGCUAAAUGCCUUCCUCAAGAAAAAGCUCUUGAAAUCAUUAAGAAAAAGACCAACAAUCCAAAAGAAAAUGGGGCAAAGAAUAUGAACAGACAAUUAAAGAAAAAACAAGUUAAAAAAAUCUGGACAGAGACAGGACUAGGGUGAGGCUGAAGAAACGGAGGGAGGUGCUCGCUGUCCAAGUCACGCAGCACUGGCCCUACACCCAAAAUGUCUGUGCCUUGGGCUCAUAAAUUCAUUUUCCACUGCUGCGUUACAAACUACCAGGGGCUUAGUGGCUUCGAAGAACCCAUUAUUAUGUCACAGUUCCUGUGGGUCAGGAGUCCAUCACAUUUUUGCUGGGUUCUCUGCUCAGGUUCUCACCAGGCUGAACUCCAGGUGUCGGCCAGGGGCCAUGUCACGUUGUAGCUCAAGGCCAUCUCCUAAGCUCCUUCAGGUUGUCGGCAGAAACCAUUCUUUGUGGUCGUAGCACUAGGUCCCAGGGAUCUCAGGGUCCUCCUAGAGGCCUCCCCUUCCACCAGACAGUUCAUAGCAUGGCUGUGUACUUUCGGAAAUUCUCUAGAUGCUUCAUCUCCUUUGAAAGACUCCCCUGAUUAGGUCAGACCCACCCAGGAUAAUGUUCCUUUUGAUCAACUCAAGGAUAAAUGAUUGGCAACCUGGUCGUUGCAGUGCUAUUCCAUCAUAUUCACAGGUCUCACCCAUACUCAAGGGCAGGGGUUAAUGCCAGUGGAGUGGGGAGCCUUGGGGACCAACAUAGAAUUCUGCCCCUCAUACCUCACCCUGAUGGAGCACCCAAAUGCUUUUAAUAUAUGUAAGGAUCCUCAAUGUCACCCUUUACACACCUUCAUCCAGGCAGGUGUUUCAGUCCUCCAUAGUUGGCUGUGCCAUCUGUGAAAUGGGGAGGAACAUAGCUCCCAUCUGUUGGGUCUGUUGUAGGAUUUAAAUGAACUCAUGGGUGUGGUUUGCAGUAGACAUUGCCACACAGGUGUAGGCAUUUCAUAAAUGGUAGGUACUAUGAUAUGUCACAUCUCUGGUUGGAAGCCUGAACGGUCGGCAGUGAUCACAGUUCUGGGAUCCUCUCUAACUGACAGAAUACCUCAUGUCCCAGGAGACUAAGCCAGAGGGGUACACAUGAAUUGAAGACAUAGAUUUGGACUCAAAAUAAAGAAUGCACACAGGAUCACAAAUAAAUGAAAACAGGCUCCUUGGGAAGGAAAUGGACCAAUAAAUAUUGAAGAGACUCAAUAAAUAUUUUUUUAGAGCCAGUUCGGUACAGCAAAGAGGGCAAGAACAUGCACUCUGUGGCCAGACUGCCCUGGAUGAAACAGGUUGUGACUGUGGGCAGGCUCCUUAGCUCUUCUAAACCUCAGUUUCCCCGUCUGUAGAAUGAAGCUAAGAAUAUCUUCUGCCUCUAAGGGCUGUUAUGCAUGAACACAUGCCAAGUGCUGGAACAGUGGUUGAGAGCAUCAGGCAACGUUACACAUUAUCAUCUGUUCUGGGAGUGCAAGUUCAUUAACAGCCAGAAGGCAAGAUCAUGGCAAAUGUUGUUUUCUACCUCUGUGGUUCUAUUCUGGACCCUAUAAGAAAUGUAGAAAGCUUUGGGCUUCCUUUCCGUCUAGAGGAAGAAGUGGUACUUGAGGAAGAAAAACACAGCAGCACCCAGACUGGAAAUCAUACAGAGAUCUUGGGAGUUCACUCAUCACUAAUUCAUUCAUUCAUUCGUUCAUAGUGCUUAUCUAGGACCAAACCAAGACCUUGGCUCUGUGCUAGAUGCUGAUGUGGUGGUGAACAAAACACAGACAUAUGGUAAAUACAUGAACAAAUAAAUAAAAUAUUUACAAACUGUGCUGGGAAUCAGAAAGGGAAUCGACAGGAUGCCAUGAAAGAGAAAGAGAAUAAUAAUAAUAAGGGGUGGUCAGGAGAGUUGAAACCUGGGGAGCAAGAGUCAGAAGCAAGUCCAAGCAAGAAGCCCUGCACCAGAAGGAGCUGGGUGUGUUUAGAAACUGACCAAGGCUCAGUGCCAAGAGAUGUGGCUGGGGACAGGUGCUAGGGUCCUUGAAGAACAUGGGCCCUUGAAGGACCCGAUACCGAGGGCAUUGAGAAGCCUUACCUUAUUUUAAUGGGGAAGUGUGACACAAUCUGAUUUAUGAUUGUAAAAGAAGCAUGCUUUCUGUGUCUGAAUGGUUCUUUAUGAACUUCAGAGCUCACCUUCCAAAUUCUAGCUGCUGUAUAGCUUUGUCUGGGGGCUUUCUCCAGAUUCUAGGGAAUCCGUAUCUCCAGAAGCAGCCUUCAACCAAAGAUUGAUGGGAUAUUUGGCUAUAAAUGCCUUGAGUCCCUCACCUCUUGGUGGACUAAUUCUGAACAUGUAUUUCAUACCAUUUCUCAGAAAUUUUCUGUGGAACUAAGCCCUCCCUAGUCACUCACAGUGGUGACCUACUUUAUAUCAUGCCCUUUAUUGAUUGUCUGUCCUCCCAUGUCACUUCCCAUCUCCCUAUGGGUGUUUCUUGAGAUCGUCUCCCAGAUAAACUACCGCACUGGAAUCCUAGACUCGGGGUCUGCCUGGGGGAGGUUUUCUGUAAGGAGACUGGAUUGGAGGGGACAUAAGUGAAGGGAGGGAGACAAAUCAGGGAGCUGUUGUGUUAGUCCAUGUAAGAAAAGAUGAUGGCCUGGGCCAGGACGGUGGCAGGCAAGGCUUUCUCGGAUAUCAAUUCUUGGGGACGUGAAGACCCUUCAUAAGCAGAAGUUGCAGAAAGACUUUUAUGAGCCAACAUCACCAACUCUCAGUCUGUCUGAGUUUUCCACAACUCGCCCACCAUCUAGCCAAUCACACGCCCUCUCAGAGGAAGCACAGUGUGAGACAGAGGCCCUUUAAAAAAGAAAAAAAAGAAAUGUGCCCAACAACCCAGCACUUCCUACCCUGACUCUGGCCACUGAGUAGAAGGCUCUUUUAGGUCCCAGGCACAACUCCUCUCAGGUUGAAUUUGACUUACAGUGAAUGUGAUGGUCAUUAGCUUUUCCUGACCAUGCUUGGCUGUUCCAUCAUCACUGUCCCAGGAGGAGAAGGACUUUCUACCUUUUACCAGACUGAAUGCAACUCUGGCUGCAGGUGGCCCCUAACAUUAAGCAGAGUUUUGCGAGCCCCACCCACCAAACACACAUACACACUCUCCCACCCACUUUGUCCACCUGAGUAGAAGCAGCUUCUCACUGAUCUAUUCAGAAGUGGUGGGCUCUCUCUUAGUCCUACUUCUUCCUAUGACACAGCCCGGGGUGCAGUGGAGGGUACCUACUCACUAUUAGUACUGUAUCUUUCCUAGAGAGACCAGCUUAUAAACUGAGAGCAUCCUCCUGGUCAUACUGGCCUCCAAAACAUGUUCUUGAUUUAUUCAUUAGGAGUAGCAGAUGCUGUUAGUAUCCCACCCCUACCCCCUGGCACUCACUAUUCCUGUACAUAUCAAUGGCUUUCUAUGGAAAGUGCCGUGGCUCUCUGCCUUAGCCCCUUUCUGGCUGAAGGAUCCUGUUUGUCUGGCCAGCACAUGAGCCAGGCUGCUAGUGCCCCUAGGAGGUCAAUGCCCUUAGGAGCAGUCUCAACCUCUGACAGUUGGGAGCUAGGGGGUAAAUAGCCCAGCUUUGGCCCUUGAGUGAGACAACUCUGGUGCACGUUCUACACACUCGCUCAAAGUUCUCCACAGGAUUGAGCCCCACUUGCCCACAGCAGUGUUUGGGCGUCAUAUGGAGUAUAUGUGGGUGUAUGAUUCAUGUGAAUGGUAUGCAUGUGUGGGUGGCUAUGGAAUAUGUGGGGACAUAAGGUUCAUUUAUAAGUGUACAAUGUAUGCGUUUGGGGUAUGUGUAACUGAUUUCAUUUUUGCCCAACAAAUAUUUGCUCCUCUUUCCCUUCCAGUCUGGGCAGAUUGUACUUCCCUUCCCUGACAUUGACUUGCUUUGACCAAUGGAAUACUAGAGGAAGUGACGUUAGUGGAGGCCUUAAAUGUGCUUUUGCAAUUUGGUUGAACUCUAGGGUUUCUUCCAUUUCCCAGGAGAAGGGUUUGCCCCGGGGAACUGGUGCCCCUUCAGCUGGCACUCCAGAAUGAGACACCAAGGGCAGACGUGAACCCACCCUCCACAGCUUACAGCUAAGCUCAGUUGAGCCCAACUGACCCACAGACCCUGGAGAAAGAAUUAAAGAGCUGGUGUUUUAAGCCAUUGAUUUUAGAGAAGUUUGUUAGCAUUAUUUCAGCAAUCACUAACUAAUGCAAGGUUUUAGAUGGGAUUUGCAAUGCACAGGGUAUGAUUUGUGGGGAGUAUAAAGAAUGUGUAUGUGUGCAGUGCUUGUGUAUUUUGUGUCUGGGUAGAUGGUAUGUUGUGAUACACAGACACAAAAAAGCAAGGGCUUAUAUUAGAUAAAACAAA